AAACCAACAGGGAUUGCCCCAGUAGCGGCGAGUGAAGCGGCAAGAGCUCAGAUUUGAAAUCGUGUUUCGGCACGAGUUGUAGAGUGUAGGCGGGAGUCUCUGUGGAGCGCGGUGUCCAAGUCCCUUGGAACAGGGUGCCUGAGAGGGUGAGAGCCCCGUAGGGUGCUGCGCGAAGCUUUUGAGGCCCUGCUGACGAGUCGAGUUGUUUGGGAAUGCAGCUCCAAGCGGGUGGUAAAUUCCAUCUAAGGCUAAAUAUUGGCGAGAGACCGAUAGCGAACAAGUACUGUGAAGGAAAGAUGAAAAGCACUUUGAAAAGAGAGUGAAACAGCACGUGAAAUUGUUGAAAGGGAAGGGUAUUGGGCUCGACAUGGGGGGUGCGCACCGCUGUCUCUUGUAGGCGGCGCUCUGGGCGCCCUCUGGGCCAGCAUCGGUUCCUGCUGCGGGAGAAGGGGCUCCGGAAAGUGGCUCUUCGGAGUGUUAUAGCCGGGGCCAGAUGCCGCGUGUGGGGACCGAGGACUGCGGCUUCUNUCUCGGAUGCUGGCAUAACGGCGCAAUACCGCUCG
rnacentral:rRNA from 1 species